rnacentral:tRNA from 1 species
UCCACGUUAGCUCAGCUGGUAAAGAAUCUGCCUGCAAUGCAAGAGACCCUGGUUCGAUUCCUGGGUCUGGAA